GAUGAACGCUGGCGGCGUGCCUAAUACAUGCAAGUCGAGCGAAUGGAUUAAGAGCUUGCUCUUAUGAAGUUAGCGGCGGACGGGUGAGUAACACGUGGGUAACCUGCCCAUAAGACUGGGAUAACUCCGGGAAACCGGGGCUAAUACCGGAUAACAUUUUGAACCGCAUGGUUUGAAAUUGAAAGGCGGCUUCGGCUGUCACUUAUGGAUGGACCCGCGUCGCAUUAGCCAGUUGGUGAGGUAACGGCUCACCAAGGCAACGAUGCGUAGCCGACCUGGGAGGGUGAUCGGCCACACUGGGACUGAGACACGGCCCAGACUCCUACGGGAGGCAGCAGUAGGGAAUCUUCCGCAAUGGACGAAGGUCUGACGGAGCAACGCCGCGUGAGUGAUGAAGGCUUUCGGGUCGUAAAACUCCGUUGUUAGGGAAGAACAAGUGCUAGUUGAAUAAGCUGACACCCUGACGGUACCUAACCAGAAAGCCACGGCUAACUACGUGCCAGCCGCCGCCGUAA
rnacentral:rRNA from 1 species